rnacentral:rRNA from 1 species
GACGAACGCUGGCGGCGUGCUUAACACAUGCAAGUCGAACGCUGAAGCACCAGCUUGCUGGUGUGGAUGAGUGGCGAACGGGUGAGUAAUACGUGAGUAACCUGCCCUUGACUCUGGGAUAAGCCCGGGAAACUGGGUCUAAUACUGGAUGCUACAUGUCACCGCAUGGUGGUGUGUGGAAAGGGUUUACUGGUCUUGGAUGGGCUCACGGCCUAUCAGCUUGUUGGUGAGGUAAUGGCUCACCAAGGCGACGACGGGUAGCCGGCCUGAGAGGGUGACCGGCCACACUGGGACUGAGACACGGCCCAGACUCCUACGGGAGGCAGCAGUGGGGAAUAUUGCACAAUGGGCGAAAGCCUGAUGCAGCGACGCCGCGUGAGGGAUGACGGCCUUCGGGUUGUAAACCUCUUUCAGCAGGGAAGAAGCCACAAGUGACGGUACCUGCAAAAGAAGCGCCGGCUAACUACGUG